ensembl:lncRNA
CUAGACUUGUUAAGAGUUGGGAAUUCAAUACCAUUUCGAGUAUUGUCCCUGCAGCUUUCCAGAAGAGGUGACAGAAAAACACUUUCAGAAUCCUGAGAAUUUGGUACUGAUUGCUUUGAGAAAGGAUUUGAAAUUGUUUACCAAGGAGGGGUGAUUUGUAGCAGAUCCUAGCCUUCGAUAAGUAGUGUGUUUAUCCUGUUUCAGUCAAGCAAUUCCACAUCAGCUGAAGCAUCCUAGUAUGGGAGAGCUUGAAAGACUCUUCUUGUCUCUUAAUAUUUCUUGCUGUAGGCCAUUAUUAGUUGUUACAAGAGCAAUUGCUUUCAAAGCGCAAAAAGGUUACCAGAACAAAUAUAUGUGGUCAAGCUGUCCUGAGGAUAUGUAUUUAAUUCAAAACCUUUGUUUUUAAAUUUGUAGGUAAAACAGGCCAAUGCAGACUGGCUGCCAUCAAAACAACCAAUACUGAAGAGGUAUUAUAGGGGAGGGGAGGUUGCCUUAUUAUCUUUAGGAGAAUAGUUGCUAAAUAUUUUAUGAGUGCUUAUCUUAUGACUGGAUAUGUCUCUUUUUUAUUUCUUAUGUUCUAGUUCACAGAGCCUAGAGGAUGUAGGAAAAGUUUGGAAAGGAGUUCAGAAAGACCAUGAUAGAUUGUGUACUUUGGUCACACCAAUGUCUGAACACAAGAAAACAUCUGGUCCCCCCAACAGCAUCCGGACCCCUCCAUAUGCACCCAUGUAUUUACAACAUAUUUCUCCUCUGGAUUAUCAACACAAUGUAUAUAUUCCAGGAACCCCAACAUCAUCUGCCAAUAAGGACGGCUCUGUAUUUCUGGAGCAGGAAACUAAGAACAGCUUCUCCACAUUUGGAAAGAGGAAGAAAAUGAUCAAUUAUUCUGAUAAACAUGACAGCAUAGUCAUUAACAACCUGAAAUAAAGUUCUUUUGCAGGCCAGCAGGCAUUGCAAACCAUGCCUAAAUAUUUCUGUGGUGCUGGAGAUCUCUGACUUUACCUCUGUGGUGUGAUUGUACAUAAUAUAAGGGGCCAAGAGUUCUUACCUGCAAGCUACUUCCCCUGAAAAUAUGGCAAACAGUGAAUGACGGUGAUGUCAAGACAUAGGAAUGACUUUAAUUUAUAAUUAAGGCAUGGGUAUGAUGUCUCCAUGGACACAGAUGAAUGCUAGCUCUUGGAACUGGAGAAAGGAAAAAAAGAAAGUAAAAAAGAAUGGACAUAACAUAACAACCAACCAACCACCCCCUUCAUUUCAGAAUUCUGGUGGGUGCUUUGUCUGGUGAAUGCAACACAACUGGCAAGUUGAAAAAGAACAUAAAUGAAUAUUUGUUUUACACUAUGGAAUAUAAUAGAUGUUUGGGGUAGAAGCAGGACAAUUGUCUGAAAUUCAAAAGAUCUACACCCUGGUAUACAUCUUUCAACUUUUAGAAACCUUCCCCCAGUUUGUAGAUGAAGUAAUUCUUUUUAGACUGUGAAUGUUUCUACACCUUCUUUCAUUUUGUUGUGUUGUUAGCACAUUUAGCAAUGUGGAAAAUUAUGGAAAGCUACAACUACUUUUUGCAACAUAGAAUUUGUGAGGGUAGAGGUAAUGCUUAGCAGAAAUGCAUUUAUUUACUUCAUAUAUUUCACCCACUGAUAAAAACGUUUUCUCAUAAUCACAUACAUUUGGAUUUAAAACAAAGCAUCAUUUAAAACAAAGCCUUUUUGGUAAAAAUGAGCUUUUUAAAGAAUUGAACUUUUGAACAAGGAUUGUGAUGUUACAUGUAUGUACAACAGGGGUAGAGCUUCCAGUGCAAUCCCAUGGUGUUGCUUUAUCAUUCUGAUAAAAGCAGCAAGCUCCUAUAGAACCCCCAGCAAAAUGCACACACCUCCAAGUUGAAGUGUAGAACAAAGAAUUCUACAACUAAUAAUAUAUGUUAUGCUUUAUUUUGAAUCCAUUAUGCACUUCCAAUAAGUGUUUUCUAAUGGAAUGAAGUUGGCAAGGAGCCAGGACUGCAGCCCCUAAAGAGAUAUUGGGGGGGGGGGGAAUCCUCCAAGGAGAAUGAAUGUUUUUGAUAUCCUACCAGACUUUGCUAAGCAAUUUUGGCUAUCUUCUGAAUGGCAAUUCUAUGAGAUUGUUACAUUCUGUUGAAUGGAUGUUAUAUUUUGGACCAAUCUGCAGUCAAAUUGCUAUCGCUUUCCUUCUCCCUUCAACUAAUUUUAAAGGGUUUUGAAUACAAAGCCACCAUUUAAAAAAAAUCCCUUUGAUUAAAGAAUAAUAUCAGUGUCAUCUUAAAGGCUUGAAACAUUUCCUACUUCUCUCCCAUUGGUAAGUUGCAUAUUGCUUCACUCUCCACUUUAGUUGUGGUUUGAGUAUCUGUAGUUUGGGGCUUCAGCCUCACUUUUCUACAACAGUUUAAACUUCCUGAAUGGAAGUAUGGAUGGGAGGAAGAUUAUUGAGCAUCAUAAUAUCUGGCUGAGCCUGUUACUGCUAUGAAAUACAUUCAAAAUGAGUUUAUUUUGAACCCACUCAAUCUUUUAUCCCUGGCAUAAAUAGCUCAAACUAUUGAACAACAACUAGAUGCAAAGGAGAGCUGAAAGGAGAAUAAGAAUUAAUUCUAUUCUAAUGCUCUAAUAUUGGGAAUAAAUUCUAGCCUACUGUUCUGGGGCUGGGCAAGACGAGUAGGAAAGUUUGGGGACACCUUAUAUGCGUUCACCAUCAUUGCAGCUACACCACAGUCUACCUGAGGAACAUCAGAGAGAAAUUAAAUGGCUAUAAAAAUAGUUCUGUCACAUCAUAAGAUCAGUAUUUGCAUAUAUGCACAAUUUUUUCCCUAUGGACAAAAUCAGAUGAAACCUCUGAGUUCCCAACCUAUUGUAAAACUUGAUGUAGGAUAUAUAAUGAGAGAAAGGCUGAUGGAAUUAGAAUUUAAGACAAAAGAUCUUCAUUAUACAACAUUAUCAAUUUGCUCUUUUCAUAGGCACUCCAGAUUUAAGUAUUUGCAAUUCUACCCUCAUUUUUCACAGGACUGGCUUUAACAACAAGUUAUUUGCAAAACAGGUCCAUUGGCCACAUUUGUUUAAGAUAAUUUGUGUGUAUUUAUAUGUAUGUGUGUGAAUAUUUUUUCCCUUAAAAACAAUAUUUGACCUAUAUGCAUGGAAACAGUCUGUCAGAAUCACAGAAGGAAACAGUCUGUCAGAAUCACAGAAAGAAAAAUGGAUUGCAUUUGAAUUAUAGUUGACUGCUUUUUGAAUAAUACAUGCAGUGCAUGUUUGCUUUAUAGUAAUAAAUUGUUCUUUAAUAAUCCCAAAUGAAAAAAAA